GACGAACGCUGGCGGCGUGCUUAACACAUGCAAGUCGAACGAUGAAGCCUUAGCUUGCUUUGGUGGAUUAGUGGCGAACGGGUGAGUAACACGUGAGCAACGUGCCCAGGACUCUGGAAUAACCGCGGGAAACCGUGGCUAAUACCGGAUAGGUGCCGAGGCCGCAUGGUCUUCGGUUGGAAAGUUUUUGCGGUUCUGGAUCGGCUCACGGCCUAUCAGCUUGUUGGUGGGGUAAUGGCCUACCAAGGCGACGACGGGUAGCCGGCCUGAGAGGGUGACCGGCCACACUGGGACUGAGACACGGCCCAGACUCCUACGGGAGGCAGAAGUGGGGAAUAUUGCACAAUGGGCGCAAGCCUGAUGCAGCAACGCCGCGUGGGGGAUGACGGCCUUCGGGUUGUAAACCUCUUUUAGUAGGGAAGAAGCGCAAGUGACGGUACCUGCAGAAAAAGCACCGGCUAACUACGUG
rnacentral:rRNA from 1 species